GACCUCGUGGCGCAACCGGUAGCGCGUCUGACUCCAGAUCAGAAGGUUUGCGUGUUCAAAUCACGUCGGGGUCA